AGAGUUUGAUCAUGGCUCAGAUUGAACGCUGGCGGCGUGAUAACACAUGCAAGUCGAACGAGAAAUUCCGACUUCGGUUGGAAGAGUAAAGUGGCGCACGGGUGAGUAACGCGUGGGUAACCUGCCCUUAAAUUUGGGAUAACUUCGCGAAAGCGACGCUAAUACCGAAUGAAGUCUUUUUUGCUGUGGCAUUAAAGAUGAAAGAUGACCUCUUCAUGAAAGUUGUCGUUUAAGGAGGGGCUCGCGUACCAUUAGCUAGUUGGUAGGGUAAUAGCCUACCAAGGCGACGAUGGUUAGCUGUUCUGAGAGGAUGAUCAGCCACACUGGAACUGAAACACGGUCCAGACUCCUACGGGAGGCAGCAGUGAGGAAUUUUGCGCAAUGGGGGAAACCCUGACGCAGCAACGCCGCGUGAGUGAAGAAGGCUUUCGGGUCGUAAAGCUCUGUCAAGUGGGAAAAAAACCUUAUGAUGAAUAAUCAUAAGGCUUGAUGGUACCACUGAAGGAAGCACCGGCUAACUCCGUGCCAGCAGCCGCGGUAAUACGGAGGGUGCAAGCGUUGAUCGGAAUUAUUGGGCGUAAAGAGCGUGUAGGCGGUUUGGUAAGUCAGAUGUGAAAGCCCUGAGCUUAACUCAGGAAGUGCAUUUGAUACUGCCAUUCUUGAGUAUGGGAGAGGAGAGUGGAAUUCCCAGUGUAGAGGUGAAAUUCGUAGAUAUUGGGAGGAACACCCGUGGCGAAGGCGGCUCUCUGGACCAAUACUGACGCUGAGACGCGAAAGCGUGGGGAGCAAACAGGAUUAGAUACCCUAGUAGUCC
rnacentral:rRNA from 1 species